rnacentral:rRNA from 1 species
AGCGAACGCUGGCGGCAGGCCUAACACAUGCAAGUCGAACGAAGUCUUCGGACUUAGUGGCGGACGGGUGAGUAACACGUGGGAACGUGCCUUUAGGUUCGGAAUAACUCAGGGAAACUUGUGCUAAUACCGAAUGUGCCCUUCGGGGGAAAGAUUUAUCGCCUUUAGAGCGGCCCGCGUCUGAUUAGCUAGUUGGUGGGGGAAAGGCUCACCAAGGCUACGAUCAUUAGCUGGUCUGAGAGGAUGACCAGCCACAUUGGGACUGAGACACGGCCCAAACUCCUACGGGAGGCAGCAGUGGGGAAUCUUGCGCAAUCGGCGAAAGCCUGACGCAGCCAUGGCGCGUGGAUGAUGAAGGUCUUAGGAUUUUAAAAUCCUUUCACCGGUGAAGAUAAUGACUGUAGCCGGAGAAGAAGCCCCGGCUAACUUCGUGCCAGCCGCCGCCGUAACAC